rnacentral:lncRNA from 1 species
GUGGCCUGGAGUGCUCUUCUGCUCAUCUGGUUUAGCAAGUUCCAUGGGAUGUCAACACCCAGCUCCAUGGCUGGCCGUUAAGAGUUCUUUUGCAGUCCUAGGUGGCUCUGCGCCUCCACGCCCAGGGACCAGGGCCUUUUCUCUUCCAGCUCUUGUUGUGUUACAUAGAAGAUGCCGGCUGGAUGGCACAGGGGAGGGCCGUACAGUGUAGAUGCGGACUGUGUGGCAUAGGUGAGGACUGGACAGCAGAGACAGUGGCUGCAUGAUGGAGGUGAGGGCUGGACGGGGGAGGCGAGGGCUGGACGGGGGAGGUGAGGGCUGCGCAGUGUAGGUGAGGACGGGCUGGACAGGGGAGGUGAGGGCUGUGCAGUGUAGGUGAGGACGGGCUGGACAGGGGAGGUGAGGGCUGUGCAGUGUAGGUGAGGACGGGCUGGACAGGGGAGGUGAGGGCUGUGCAGUGUAGGUGAGGACGGGCUGGACAGGGGAGGUGAGGGCUGGGCAGUGCAGAUGAGGCCUGGGUGGCAGGAAUGAUGCCUGGAUGAAGGAAGUGAGAGCUGGGUGGCUUGAGUGAGGGCUAGAUGGCAUGGGUGAGGGCUGAGUGGCAUAGAUGAGGCCUGGGCAGCAGAGGCAUGGACUGCGCAUCGUAGGUGUCGGCUGGACAGCAAGGGUGAUGCCUGGACAGCAGAGGUGAGGGCUGGGCGGCAGGAGUGAUGCCUGGACAGCAGAGGUGAGGGCUGGGCGGCAGGAGUGAGGGCUGGGUGGCAGGAGUGAGGGCUGGAUGGCGUAGAUGAGGCCUGGGCAGCAGAGGUGAGGGCUGUGCUGUUCCGGUUUUGGGCUAGACGGCAGGGAGAAUGCCUAGAUGACUGGGUGGAGGCCUGGGUGGGAGAAGUGAGGUCUGGACACUGUGGGUGAGGGCUGGAUGGCGUAGAUGAGGCCUGCGCGGU